rnacentral:rRNA from 1 species
AGUGAACGCUGGCGGUAGGCCUAACACAUGCAAGUCGAACGGCAGCACAGUAAGAGCUUGCUCUUACGGGUGGCGAGUGGCGGACGGGUGAGGAAUACAUCGGAAUCUACUUUUUCGUGGGGGAUAACGUAGGGAAACUUACGCUAAUACCGCAUACGACCUACGGGUGAAAGCAGGGGAUCUUCGGACCUCGCGCGAUUGAAUGAGCCGAUGUCGGAUUAGCUAGGUGGCGGGGUAAAGGCCCACCAAGGCGACGAUCCGUAGCUGGUCUGAGAGGAUGAUCAGCCACACUGGAACUGAGACACGGUCCAGACUCCUACGGGAGGCAGCAGUGGGGAAUAUUGGACAAUGGGCGCAAGCCUGAUCCAGCCAUACCGCGUGGGUGAAGAAGGCCUUCGGGUUGUAAAGCCCUUUUGUUGGGAAAGAAAAGCAGCAGGUUAAUACCCCGCUGUUCUGACGGUACCCAAAGAAUAAGCACCGGCUAACUUCGUG